GCUGGAGAUUCCUGCAUGCCUGAAGUCUCUAAUGAUUCUUUAACAAUGUAAAGGAGGUAUCUUUCAUCUGAUUCCUAAGUGAAUAAGAAACUUGAAGGAAACAGGAGGGUAGCAACAAGGCAUCUUCUUGAAUCUCUCAUUUUCCUGAACAAGUGCAAUGAUGAGAGAUCUUGUUGGACACAGAAGAGAAGAGAGACAAUAUUUGUCUGACUAGGCUGGGGAUUUUCAUUAUAUACAAGAGGUUGAAGAUGGAGGAGAGAAUUUCACCUGGAGCUCAGAUGACCGCAUUACUGAAGACAAUAAUUAUAUGUGUGUGUGUGUAUAUAUAUAUAUCAUACAUAUACAAAGAGAGAGAGUAUACGUUUCAACAUUUUUCACAGAAUUUAUGAAAACAUCACCAAGUAAGAUUUCUAUUCUGGGACAUGGAACACCUUUGUUUGUACAAACACUGGUAGGAAUGGUCAUUUUGGUCAAAGCCCUGGGCUUUGUGAUCUUUAUUUGCUGCUCUCAAUUUUCUUGCUUAUUUUUACCUGUUCUUAUAACCUCCCAUGUGAUGUUCAGUUGAUUCUGUCAAGUCAAGCUCUUGUUUUUCAGAUCUUUGAAACACUCAACAUCAGUAAGUGGAUAGGAAUGUAAUCUCUCUCCUGGGUUAAAUGGGAAAAGAUAGAGUUGCAGGAACAUGUAUUAACCUGUAGUGUACAUUCUUUGAUAGAUUACAAAACUAUUCACUGUAAGUAGUGCCUGACCAACAUCUGUAUUUUUAAAUUAAUAUUAGAAGAACAUCAGGUAGGGAAAUAGAGAAAGAUAAUUAUGCAGGACAAUUGGUUAAAUGCUUUUAGACCUAAGCUGCUAAAAGGCUUGGCUAAGUGAAAGGAAAGUAACCAUGAUAAAUAUUGGAAGGAAAUAAUACAGAAGUCAGGUAGACAAAGAAUGUGGUACAGUUGCACUAGACAUUUUUGGCGACAAUUCCAUGUAAAUCUUUCAAAUGAGUACAGGUACUUAAUAGGUAAUUAAAAAGACAGCCAAUGUAAAUGAAUUAAUAGCUGACUUAAAAUGCACUACCUGCUCUGUAAUUAAUAGGAAAUCAGAAAGGAAAUAAAUGCUUGCUUACAGCCUUAUUAGAUAUGAACAUUAUGUCCUACUCUGAAUUGAUUGGGAUGAUAAAAACUUCAGAGGAAAAUAUGGAAAGUGCAGCAAAAUACUUGCCAGAUCUCAGCAAAAUUUCAGUAAUGGGCAGUUAUGCUUAAAUAUUUCAGAAUACUUAUACAAGAUGACAUUCAGAAUGUUUGAUUUAAGCACUGGGAGAGAACUAUUGAGAACCUAUAGGAACUAGAACAGCAAUCAUGAAUGAAGUUCAUCAGUCAAAGGAGGAAUAUCUCAUGCAUUAUUCAACGAGCCUGGUAAUAAACAAACUGCUGCAUAACCUCAGAUGAGGCCUUUGGUGGCCCAGUGCUAUAAUGCUCCAUGACAUGUCCAUCUACAUACCAAAUUCUACUUUAUUUUUUUAUUCCCUGGCUUAGAGCUGGACUUACAUAUAAUACUAAAGUUGGCAUUUGUGCUCUAACACUGGUGUUCAGCUCUGCUUUUCUCCUUGUAGGCAACAUUAACAAAUAUUCAAAAGUUUUCAAAUACUGUUCUGCUUAGCCUAUAAACAAGUGAUGUUACAUUCUCCUUUUAGAUCCUCUUUUCUUCCAAAAAUUGUACCCCACCAGACUGAGACACACCUCUAGUUAACUAGUUACUAAAGUCCAGAGCGAUGUAUAAUACUAGAGAAAAGGCUGCUGUUAUAAUUUUUAAAAGCAAAACAUAGUUAAUAAAGAAUAUAUAUCAAGG
ensembl:lncRNA